AGUGAACGCUGGCGGUAGGCCUAACACAUGCAAGUCGAACGGCAGCACAGUAAUAGCUUGCUCUUACGGGUGGCGAGUGGCGGACGGGUGAGGAAUACAUCGUAAUCUACUUUUUCGUGGGGGAUCACGUAGGUAAACUUACGCUAAUACCGCAUCCGACCUACGGGUGAAAGCAGUGGAUCUUCGGACCUUGCGCGAUUGAAUGAGCCGAUGUCGGAUUAGCUAGUUGGCGGGGUAAAGGCCCACCAAGGCGACGAUCCGUAGCUGGUCUGAGAGGAUGAUCAGCCACACUGGAACGGAGACACGGUCCAGACUCCUACGGGAGGCAGCAGUGGGGAAUAUUGGACAAUGGGCGCAAGCCUGAUCCAGCCAGACCGCGUGGGUGAAGAAGGCCUUCGGGUUGUAAAGCCCUUUUGUCGGGAAAGAAAAGCAGCAGGUUAAUACCCCGCGGUUCUGACGGUACCCAAAGAAUAAGCACCGGCUAACUUCGUG
rnacentral:rRNA from 1 species